CGAAAUAACUCAAAUAAUAUAUAUCAGAGUGCACGAUACAAGGAGAGCAAACUCGACUUUUACAUUGCAGCGGAAGAGUCAAGAGCAGAUAACGUCAUGUAUGGAGACACGUCGCAUCCGAGUAAUAUUCUAUCGAAGGAUCUUCAUCGUCUAUGUUCAACACCGCCCGCCGUCAUCACUGCUCAACCUGCACAUUUUAAAAACAUAUACAGGGCUGAGUACUUGGUGUACUCAGUGGACACGUUCCGAAAUAUAUUUUACUGAAAAACUAGUUUUGUCAAGUCACUCUUUGAGUGAGCUCGGGGUUUUAGGAAAAGGUCCGAGAACACUGAAACAUUUUCCUUUUUUCCUUUUUCAAAAACGACCUGCCGAUCUAUUUUCCUAGAACACAUGUCGUAUCUGACUAACUCCUGGGGAACACAAGCCCACUAACCUCCUAGUGAACAGAAUUCACGAAACUCCUGGUGAAUCGGAAUGUAUGGGCUCAUCCCACUUACAAACCCGCAUUCACUAACUAAAACUGAAACUCCCUGUCUAGUAGGGACAUCGCCUUGCUAGUCAAUCAGAUAGGCACAAUUCAAAACAAAACAUGGCUCGACAUAACUUUCGCAACCUUAUUUUUCUCAUAAAACAUUUUUGAAACAUAAACUCAUUUUUUCUUUCCUCAAAAUCCGAACACAUAACCUUCAAUACUUCAUUUUCCUUGUAAACAUAUUUGGAACAAACUCAUUUCUAUCGGUCAAAGCCGAACUCAAAACUUCAACAAAAGCUACACUUCACAAGCACUCAUAAGACAACACAUAACAUCAAAUAAAUCACAUCACUUUCACUUUAGGUAAAUAGCACUUUUCAUAAUACCACACAUUAAAUAGCAAGCUCGCACUUAACAUCACAUCUUAAAUAGAAGCACACAAAAAAUACUUUUCAUAAAAACUGUAAACAUACUUUAAACAGAAAGCCUUAAAAAUAUCUUAGUUCGAAAGCCCACAUAAAAACACUUUAGUUCGAAAGCCCACAUGAAACACUUUAGUUCGAAAGUCCACCUCGUUCGCUUAAAACUCCUUAACUUGAAUUUUCUUGACUCCACCCAUAACUUGCAGAGAUAGCCUUUUGAAAACAAACAAUGUACUAAAAAAAAAAGAAAAAAAGAAAACAAACAAUGUACUAAUAAGACUCGAGAAAUUCUUAAACUUUAAUUAGAAUUAGAAUGCAUGCCCUAAUUAAUCAUGGCCCAAGAACUUAAUUAGAAUUCUAGCAUAAGACUAAAUUAAUUUCAGCCCAAGCUCCUUCGUAAAAUAAUUCCGUCUGACCCAACUGCUCUUCUCCCUCUUUGAUUUAUUUUGGCCCAAGGAUCAAUUUCAGCCCAACAAUUAAAUAAAUAUACUGGCCCAAGUCUCCUUUUAAUACUCUGCAGCCCAUCUGUUUUUUUUUUUUUAUUAUUGGCCCAACAACUUAAAUGGAAAAAGAAAAGAGGCAUGAAGCCCACAUUCUCCCUCCUGUCUCUCGGUUCUCAUCUCCCUCUUCCCUCAAAUCCCCAAUUCACUCUCACUUUUCCAAAUUAGGGAGUCGUAGGUUGAGAAGAAACCAUGGCAGCUCCUCCUUCCUCAUCUCGCCGCCACUUCGGCGAGAAUCAGUCACUGCCGCUCACGCCUUCCUCCGGCGUCUCUCCCUCAUCCCCUUUCUGAUCUCAAUUUUUGUUUUCGUCUCGGAACUGAGGGCAGCGGCGCGUCGUUCCAUCCCUCGCCCUCUCCAGCGAAUUCACGCCCUUCGUCUAGCGCCCUCCGUCCAGCGCUCUUCCUCUCGUCGACAUCUCAGACAGCAGCUCAUCGAUUCCUGAGCUCUUCCUCUCACGCCGAGCUCUCUGGGAUGCAGCGGCCCCCCGACGGUUUUGCAGCGCCGCCGUCCCCGCUUCGGGUACUCGGUGAGUGGAGUUCCCGCUGCCAGCUGCCAUUUCACCGCCUCCGUCUGCUGUCCGGGGUUCCGCCGUCGUCCGAUCCUUGCCGGACAGCCCCUCGUCGCCUCCGCGUCCCGGCUCGCCUUGUCGGCUUAUUCUUGGCCUAAAGCUAAGUCUCCCCCCUUUCCCUUCUACUUUUUUUUUCAAUUGAGUUAUGGCAGUAACAUGUUGAGAGUUCCAUUUGCAUCUUGUGAAGCAAGUUAUGACUUUUGGGAGGAUUGUUAGCUCACUGAAAUGAGUUCAUUAUAUUGGGGACUUCAACUGCUACUUGUUCUAAGAGUUGCUACUGUCAUGAGAUUUCUACAGCCAUGAUUCUAUGUUCUUGGACCUAGUAUGAUGUUCGAAACAAAAGCAGAGGGUGUGCUAGUGUUUUACCUCUUUCUCGAUGACUCCUUCGAACACCGGACUGCCCUUAAGCUCGCGGCCACUCCUUCCUCUCUUGCUGCACUUCUUUUGAUUUGUGAAUGUUGAGAGGUGUGAGGAAGGAGAUGGUGGUGGGGCUGGUAUUUAUAGCCAAAACUCCUUCGCAUUUUGUGUCUAAUUUUUGGGAGGUGGUGAUGCUAAUUUUGGGCUGUUCCUUAGCUCCCUUUCGAGCUUUGUGAUACUGCUACUCUUACUAAGUUGAUGAAUGUUUGGGGCUGCCCUCCUUGGCAGUUUUCUCCCAGCCUUGGUGAUGGAAAAAGGGAUCUGAUUCAUGCUCAUUUUGAGUAUGAACAUUGGGUUCAUUCUACUAUGCUCCUUUGUCCUAACCUCUACUUUGGUGUAAGAAGGGACUGUGACAAAAUGGUUGUCUUACUGCCUGAGCAGCCUCUUGGCUGUACAACUACAACUCAGCCUGUUUACUCUCCAUGUUCAAUCGAGCUGGCCCCCUCCCCUUCCUUUCUUAUAAGUCUAUUUUUCUAACCCCAUUUUUGUGUGAUUUGCAGGCCUAGGGGCUGCCCCUCUUGGCUGUUAUCUCAGCCUCGGUUGAUGGGGAAAGAGAGUACAUUGUUGCCUCUAAAAGGCCUUAGGGAUGAUCUCACUCCUUGGUCAUUCUUGUCCUUUUUCUUUUUUUUGAAGAUUGAUGAUGUACAUGGUUGUCCGUGCUUGGUGUCUUGUGGAAGCAUGAAUUGAGAAGGGAGGAGAGAAGAAAGGGAAAUAGGAGUUGGCUAGAAUGCCACUUGUCUCCUUGCCAAGAUAGUAUAGUCUCUAUUAUAUGUACUACUUGUGAUUCCAUCACUCUUGUAUUUCUAUUUUUUCAACAAUUUGUAAUUCAAAACUUAAAUUUCCUUGCACUUAAAUUUCCAACCGUCUCUUCAUCCUA